UGCCAGCCGCCGCGGUAAUACGGAGGGUGCGAGCGUUAAUCGGAAUUACUGGGCGUAAAGCGCGCGUAGGCGGCUAGAUCAGUCGGAUGUGAAAGCCCCGGGCUUAACCUGGGAACUGCAUUCGAUACUGUCUAGCUAGAGUAUGGUAGAGGGAAGUGGAAUUCCGGGUGUAGCGGUGAAAUGCGUAGAUAUCCGGAGGAACACCAGUGGCGAAGGCGACUUCCUGGACCAAUACUGACGCUGAGGUGCGAAAGCGUGGGGAGCAAACAGGAUUAGAUA
rnacentral:rRNA from 1 species